CUGUAGGCUGCAACUCGCCUACACGAAGUUGGAAUUGCUAGUAAUCGUGGAUCAGCAUGCCACGGUGAAUACGUUCCCGGGUCUUGUACACACCGCCCGUCACACCAUGGGAGCUGGUAACACCCGAAGUCAGUAGUCUAACCGCAAGGAGGACGCUGCCGAAGGUGGGAUUAGCGACUGGGGUGAAGUCGUAACAAGGUAAC
rnacentral:rRNA from 1 species